rnacentral:rRNA from 1 species
CCCUUAGAUGUCCUGGGCUGCACGCGCGCUACACUGGAAGUUACGGAUUGAGAUACUACCUUGUCCGAAAUGGUCCGGGUAAUCACCUAAAAGCUUGUCAUAAUUGGAAUGGAUUAUUGUAACUAGUAAUCCCGAACGAGGAAUUCCUAGUAAGUCCCAGUCAACAGCUGGUACUGAUUACGUCCCUGCCCUUUGUACACACCGCCCGUCGCUACUACUGAUUGGACGUUUAAGCAAGAUUUUUAAACACUGACAGUGUGUAGUUCACGCUAUACUACAGUGAGAAGAAGAAGAUCGAGCUUACUUGUCUAGAGGAAGUAAAAGUCGUAACA